GCGGCGCGGAGCAGCCCCCACCCGCCCGGGGAGGGAGCGGGCACUCGGCGGCACGCGGCCUCGCGCCUCGCCUCCCACACCCCCGCACACAAAGACGCCACUCGGCACAGGGAGCAGGGGCCCGCAGCGGGAGCGGGGGCACACAGGGCGCUGGCCCCUGGGACGCCGCCGCCGCCGCAGGGACGCGCGCCCGCAGCCUCCGGCUACCCUAAACCGCAUAGCCCGGCCCUCAGCCCGAGCGGCCGGCGAGGGACGAGCAGAUGCGGGAGAGAGAGGAGGGGACCCGGGUGCCCUGAGCUGGGCUAGUUACAGCUCGGCCCCGCAGCAUCAUGGGGCUUGUAGUCCGCCUGGUAGAACCGAGCGUUUCGGAUGACCCGAGACCGUCUGGAACUGAUUUCCUGAAAGGGUGGACAGACAGUGGGCCCGGACGAAACGGGGGCCUUACUUGGAUGCCAGAAAAGUAAACCCCAUCUUCCACACAUCACGCUGGAAAGAGCAUGUCUAACGGGGGCGAAGAAGACAGUCCUUCCCCUACAUUGCUCAUCAAGAACCAGGACGAGGCUGAGCAAACUGGCAUCUCCACACCUCCAACCCAUGUAGGUCCCUGACUAAGGGAAAUGACGGGGUGCAGACAGCCUCCUUCCUGAAUGACCAGAGCAAACGAGCCCUUCCACAAGGAUCCCUUGCAGAGAGUGUGGAAAAAGUGAAAAUGGCCUCUGUGGUGGCCAGCUGCAAAUGUUAAAAGGACCAAGAUGCCCUGAAAGAGAAAAUGGAUCAUGAUGUCGAGAGAGUUUAGAUUCCGACUGCCUCAAUUGCUUGUUUUUAAGCAAAUUGCAUACACUUCUGAGUUCCUCAGUCCACUCACUUCUACAAUGGGAUUGGAUAUCACCUCCUGGGGUGAGCCCAGGACAGCAACUCUCCUUCAGCCAGGCUGAGACGGGUGGUAGGAAUGAACGCAUUGCCUUCCCUCAGCCCACCUUAAGCCACGGCAGAAAUAGGGGAUUCCUCACCAACCCGACUUGGAACAACAGUCUAAUGAGUGUUUGUGUGGGAGGUGCCAGCAAAAGCUUGCAAACUCCUGAUGCCUCUCUCGGGUUUCUUUGUGUGGUCCUUCUCCCCUGCCUCCCGCACACCCAGCUUUGCCUGGCCCGGGAGGGCUGAGGGAGGAGCAGACUGCCUCGCCCCUUUCUGCAGCCGGGGAGGAGCCGGCAGGCGUUUCCACAGCCCAGAUCCGCACCUCCACCGCCAGGGGUCAGCAGAGUGUCGUGAUUGCAGCCCGAGUUGAGGAGGGGGCUAGAGUAAAGGAGGAGCAUCUAGGAGAGGUUUCUAGAAUACUUGUACAGUACUUCAUUAAAUCGUUUCAGAGCCUUG